GUGGGGGCGGGGCGCUCCCUCAGCCCAGAUUUCGAGAGGGCACAGGCCAGGCUGAGGGACCCCACUGGUGCAUG
rnacentral:pre_miRNA from 1 species